rnacentral:rRNA from 1 species
CAUAGUGAUCCGGUGGUUCUGAAUGGAAGGGCCAUCGCUCAACGGAUAAAAGGUACUCCGGGGAUAACAGGCUGAUACCGCCCAAGAGUUCAUAUCGACGGCGGUGUUUGGCACCUCGAUGUCGGCUCAUCACAUCCUGGGGCUGAAGUAGGUCCCAAGGGUAUGGCUGUUCGCCAUUUAAAGUGGUACGCGAGCUGGGUUUAGAACGUCGUGAGACAGUUCGGUCCCUAUCUGCCGUGGGCGCUGGAGAACUGAGGGGGGCUGCUCCUAGUACGAGAGGACCGGAGUGGACGCAUCACUGGUGUUCGGGUUGUCAUGCCAAUGGCACUGCCCGGUAGCUAAAUGCGGAAGAGAUAAGUGCUGAAAGCAUCUAAGCACGAAACUUGCCCCGAGAUGAGUUCUCCCUGAGACUUUAAGUCUCCUGAAGGAACGUUGAAGACGACGACGUUGAUAGGCCGGGUGUGUAAGCGCAGCGAUGCGUUGAGCUAACCGGUACUAAUGAACCGUGAGGCUUAACCUU